UACGGGAGGCAGCAGUGGGGAAUAUUGCACAAUGGGCGCAAGCCUGAUGCAGCCAUGCCGCGUGUAUGAAAAAGGCCUUCGGGUUGUAAAGUACUUUCAGUCGUGAGGAAGGUGUUAAGGUUAAUAACCUUAGCAAUUGACGUUAGCGACAGAAGAAGCACCGGCUAACUCCGUGCCAGCAGCCGCGGUAAUACGGAGGGUGCGAGCGUUAAUCGGAAUUACUGGGCGUAAAGGGCACGCAGGCGGUUAAUUAAGUUGGAUGUGAAAUCCCCGGGCUUAACCUGGGAAUGGCAUUCAAGACUGGUUAGCUAGAGUCUUGUAGAGGGGGUAGAAUUCCAUGUGUAGCGGUGAAAUGCGUAGAGAUGUGGAGGAAUACCGGUGGCGAAGGCGGCCCCUCGGAGAAACGACUGACGCUCAUGUGCGAAAGCGUGGGGAGC
rnacentral:rRNA from 1 species